rnacentral:rRNA from 1 species
AGCAGCCGCGGUAAUUCCAGCUCCAAUAGCGUAUAUUAAAGUUGUUGCAGUUAAAAAGCUCAAUGUGUUGGUCGUGCCUUGGUACGUACUAGUUUAUUGAUUUCUUCCUUCUGAUGAAUCAUGAUGUCAUUAAUUUGGUGUCAUGGAGAAUCAGGACUGUUACUUUGAAAAAUUAGAGUGUUUAAAGCAGGCUCACGCUUGAAUACAUUAGCAUGGAAUAAUGAAAUAGGACGUUUGAUUCUAUUUUGUUGGUUUCUAUGAUUGACGUAAUGAUUAAUAGGGAUAGUUGGGGGCAUUAGUAUUCAAUUGUUAGAAGUGAAAUUCUUGGAUUUAUUGAAGACUAACUACUGCGAAAGCAUUUGCCAAGGAUGUUUUCAUUAAUCAAGAACGAAAGUUAGGGGAUCGAAGACGAUCAGAUACCGUCGUAGUCUUAACCAUAAACUAUGCCGACUAGGGAUUGGAUGAUGUUAAUUUUUUAAUGUACUCAUUCGGCGCCUUACGGGAAACCGU